GCCCCCAUAGUCUAGCGGCCCAGGACGCCACCCUUUCAAGGUGGAGAUCGCGGGUUCGAAUCCCGCUGGGGGCACCA
rnacentral:tRNA from 1 species